rnacentral:rRNA from 1 species
AGUGAACGCUGGCGGUAGGCCUAACACAUGCAAGUCGAACGGCAGCACAGUAAGAGCUUGCUCUUACGGGUGGCGAGUGGCGGACGGGUGAGGAAUACAUCGGAAUCUUCUUUUUCGUGGGGGAUAACGUAGGGAAACUUACGCUAAUACCGCAUACUACCUACGGGUGAAAGCAGGGGAUCUUCGGACCUUGCGCGAUUGAAUGAGCCGAUGUCGGAUUAGCUAGUUGGCGGGGUAAAGGCCCACCAAGGCGACGAUCCGUAGCUGGUCUGAGAGGAUGAUCAGCCACACUGGAACUGAGACACGGUCCAGACUCCUACGGGAGGCAGCAGUGGGGAAUAUUGGACAAUGGGCGCAAGCCUGAUCCAGCCAUACCGCGUGGGUGAAGAAGGCCUUCGGGUUGUAAAGCCCUUUUGUUGGGAAAGAAAAGCAGCAGGUUAAUACCCCGCUGUUCUGACGGUACCCAAAGAAUAAGCACCGGCUAACUUCGUG